GACGAACGCUGGCGGCGUGCUUAACACAUGCAAGUCGAACGGAAAGGCCCCUUCGGGGGUGCUCGAGUGGCGAACGGGUGAGUAACACGUGGGUGAUCUGCCCUGCACUUUGGGAUAAGCCUGGGAAACUGGGCCUAAUACCGGAUAGGACUACAUGCUGCAUGGUGUGUGGUGGAAAGUUUUCGGACGGUGUGGGAUGGGCCCGCGGCCUAUCAGCUUGUUGGUGGGGUGAUGGCCUACCAAGGCUUCGACGGGUAGCCGGCCUGAGAGGGUGUCCGGCCACACUGGGACUGAGAUACGGCCCAGACUCCUACGGGAGGCAGCAGUGGGGAAUAUUGCACAAUGGGCGCAAGCCUGAUGCAGCGACGCCGCGUGGGGGAUGACGGCCUUCGGGUUGUAAACCUCUUUCACCAUCGACGAAGGCCCGGUUUUUGCUGGGUUGACGGUAGGUGGAGAAGAAGCACCGGCCAACUACGUGCCAGCAGCCGCGGUAAUACGUAGGGUGCGAGCGUUGUCCGGAAUUACUGGGCGUAAAGGGCUUGUAGGUGGUUUGUCGCGUUGUUCGUGAAAUGCCACAGCUUAACUGUGGGCGUGCGGGCGAUACGGGCAGACUGGAGUACUGCAGGGGAGACUGGAAUUCCUGGUGUAGCGGUGGAAUGCGCAGAUAUCAGGAGGAACACCGGUGGCGAAGGCGGGUCUCUGGGCAGUAACUGACGCUGAGGAGCGAAAGCGUGGGGAGCGAACAGGAUUAGAUACCCUGGUAGUCCACGCCGUAAACGGUGGGUACUAGGUGUGGGUUUCCUUCCUUGGGAUCCGUGCCGUAGCUAACGCAUUAAGUACCCCGCCUGGGGAGUACGGCCGCAAGGCUA
rnacentral:rRNA from 1 species